ensembl:lncRNA
UUGCAAACCUAACUAAUCGCAAACCUAACUAAUCGAACCUAACCUACGCAAAUGAUGACGUUGCGGCUCUCAGCUGUGCCAGAGCGUUGAAGUUGCUAUGGAAACCACCUAGCGUCGCAGCCGGUUGCAGCCGGUGUGAACUGCCCAGUUUUAGAACGUCGCACUCAGCCCGUCUCGUUGCAAGGCGUUGCAAGGAGUUGCGAGGUGAAUCUUGCAACGGCUUGCAACGAGACGGUUUUAGAACGUCGCAGGGGCGGUGUGAACGGGUCGUUGCAAGCCGUUGCAAGGAGUUGCAAGGCGUUGCAAGGAGUCGCCAGAGAUUGAACAUGUCAAAUCGCAAGGUCCUGUUUUAGAACGCGGCGAUUUAACUAUUCCUCUUCAGCCAAUCACAGCACAGAACAACUUGUACGUCACGGCCUUACUCCGUCCCGGUACCGUACUGUCCACUCCAGCGUAAAAAGAUCCGAAGAUGGCAGACUUCUGGUCCGAGGAGAGGGAGGAGAAAUUAAUUCGGUUGCUGGAGGAUCAACCUGUCCUAUACGACGUUGGCAGCAAGGGGUACAGCAACAGGGACAGCAAGAGGAGAGCGUGUUGUGACAUUGCGGUGGCAACUGGUGUAUCCGAAAAAGAGGUGGGCAAGAAAAUCCACUCCCUCCGGACCCAGUACAACAGGUACAGCAAGGCACCGGCUCCGGGGAGGGCCGGUGGGAGAACUGGCAGGCAGGACUGGGUUCUCAGGAGGCUCUCUUUCCUGGAGCCAUAUAUCAGGAAGAGAGCUUCUUCGUCCAACGUGGACGAAAAGAUUGUUGAAAGAGAGAGUGAUCUUGUGGAGGGACUGGACGAGGAAGAGGACGUGGAAGUAGAGGAGAGCAGUGAACCUGAGGGACAAGGCAGCACCUGCCUCGUCCCUCAGGUUCAGAAGGUCGCAGGCAGUAAAAGAAAGAGGCAAACAGAAAAGCAAGAAGAUGAGGUCCUAAGUGCCGUUGGCAAUUUUCUGAGACACAGGAUGGAACAGAGGGAGGAGGACACAAUGUCAAUCUUUUUAAACUGAACUUCAUGCAGCUAUAAAUAAAGCAGUGUGUGUGCAUUCUGCAGCCCCCAGUGAGUACGCACUGACCCGGCCACAGAGACGCUGUAUUCUUACCCCACUGUCGGCCUGUGUGUCUAUGAAGGAGAUUCACUACAGUCACAGGUCACAG